CGAGACUAGGACGUUGAUAGGUCAGGUGUGUAAGCGUUGUGAGGCGUUGAGCUAACUGAUACUAAUGACUCGAGAGGCUUAACCAUACAACCCAGAUGGGUUUUG
rnacentral:rRNA from 1 species